UGCGUAGGUGGUGGGGUAAGUCGGAUGUGAAAUCUCGGAGCUCAACUCCGAAAUGGCAUUGGAAACUACCCCGCUAGAGGAUUGGAGGGGGGACUGGAAUGCUUGGUGUAGCAGUGAAAUGCGUAGAUAUCAAGCGGAACACCAGUGGCGAAGGCGAGUCCCUGGACAAUACCUGACACUGAGGCACGAAAGCUAGGGAGGCAAACA
rnacentral:rRNA from 1 species